rnacentral:rRNA from 1 species
UACGGAGGGGACUAGCGUUGUUCGGAAUUACUGGGCGUAAAGCGCACGUAGGCGGAUUUGUAAGUCAGGGGUGAAAUCCCGGGGCUCAACCUCGGAACUGCCUUUGAUACUGCAAAUCUCGAGUCCGGAAGAGGUGAGUGGAAUUCCUAGUGUAGAGGUGAAAAUUCGUAGAUAUUAGGAAGAAACACCAGUGGCGAAGGCGGCUCACUGGUCCGGUACUGACGCUGAGGUGCGAAAGCGAUGGGGAGCAA